rnacentral:ncRNA from 1 species
GCAGUAACUUAGAGUAUGUUUGAAAUUACUUCAAAACGCAAGCAACACUCGUACACGGAUGUACGAGCGAGUCCAUACUGAGCCUGGAUGGCGAACAUGAACGGUUGUGUCCUACUGUCUCAUCCUUUAUGUGAUUUCUUACAUACUCUUAGUUACGGAGU